rnacentral:rRNA from 1 species
AUACGUAGGGGGCGAGCGUUGUCCGGAAUGAUUGGGCGUAAAGGGCGCGUAGGCGGCCCGGUAAGUCUGGAGUGAAAGUCCUGUUUUUAAGAUGGGAAUUGCUUUGGAUACUGUCGGGCUUGAGUGCAGGAGAGGUAAGUGGAGUUCCCAGUGUAGCGGUGAAAUGCGUAGAGAUUGGGAGGAACACCAGUGGCGAAGGCGACUUACUGGACUGUAACUGACGCUGAGGCGCGAAAGUGUGGGGAGCAAACAGGAUUAGAUACCCUGGUAGUCCACACUGUAAACGAUGAAUGCUAGGUGUAGGGGGUAUCGACCCCUUCUGUGCCGCAGUCAACACAAUAAGCAUUCCGCCUGGGGAGUACGGCCGCAAGGUUGAAACUCAAAGGAAUUGACGGGG